rnacentral:rRNA from 1 species
UACGUAGGGCGCAAGCGUUGUCCGGAAUUAUUGGGCGUAAAGAGCUCGUAGGCGGCUUGUCACGUCGGGUGUGAAAGACCGGGGCUUAACCCCGGUUCUGCAUUCGAUACGGGCUGGCUAGAGUGUGGUAGGGGCGUGCGGAACUGUGGGUGGAGCGGUGAAAUGCGUUGAUAUCCACAGGAACUCCGGUGGCGAAGGCGGCACGCUGGACCCCUUCUGACGCUGAGGCGCGAAGGCCAGGGGAGCAAACGGG